UUGAACUCCUGCGCGUCACUCCUCCUGGUCCCGGCAGAAUACCAGCGCUCAGGUUUUGUUUUAAAACCUGCAGCAUUAAUGCUGAGCCGGGGCCUUUUAAUCUUGUGCCAUGUGGGUGCAAGAAUUAAUUUUAGAUUAAAAUA